GGGUUGUGAGGUUAAGCGACUAAGCGUACACGGUGGAUGCCCUGGCAGUCAGAGGCGAUGAAGGACGUGCUAAUCUGCGAUAAGCGUCGGUGAGGUGAUAUGAACCGUUAUAACCGGCGAUUUCCGAAUGGGGAAACCCAGUGUGUUUCGACACACUAUCAUUAACUGAAUCCAUAGGUUAAUGAGGCGAACCGGGGGAACUGAAACAUCUAAGUACCCCGAGGAAAAGAAAUCAACCGAGAUUCCCCCAGUAGCGGCGAGCGAACGGGGAGGAGCCCAGAGCCUGAAUCAGUGUGUGUGUUAGUGGAAGCGUCUGGAAAGGCGUGCGAUACAGGGUGACAGCCCCGUACACAAAAAUGCACAUAUUGUGAGCUCGAUGAGUAGGGCGGGACACGUGGUAUCCUGUCUGAAUAUGGGGGGACCAUCCUCCAAGGCUAAAUACUCCUGACUGACCGAUAGUGAACCAGUACCGUGAGGGAAAGGCGAAAAGAACCCCGGCGAGGGGAGUGAAAAAGAACCUGAAACCGUGUACGUACAAGCAGUGGGAGCCUCUUAAUGGGGUGACUGCGUACCUUUUGUAUAAUGGGUCAGCGACUUAUAUUCUGUAGCAAGGUUAACCGAAUAGGGGAGCCGAAGGGAAACCGAGUCUUAACUGGGCGUUAAGUUGCAGGGUAUAGACCCGAAACCCGGUGAUCUAGCCAUGGGCAGGUUGAAGGUUGGGUAACACUAACUGGAGGACCGAACCGACUAAUGUUGAAAAAUUAGCGGAUGACUUGUGGCUGGGGGUGAAAGGCCAAUCAAACCGGGAGAUAGCUGGUUCUCCCCGAAAGCUAUUUAGGUAGCGCCUCGUGAAUUCAUCUCCGGGGGUAGAGCACUGUUUCGGCAAGGGGGUCAUCCCGACUUACCAACCCGAUGCAAACUGCGAAUACCGGAGAAUGUUAUCACGGGAGACACACGGCGGGUGCUAACGUCCGUCGUGAAGAGGGAAACAACCCAGACCGCCAGCUAAGGUCCCAAAGUCAUGGUUAAGUGGGAAACGAUGUGGGAAGGCCCAGACAGCCAGGAUGUUGGCUUAGAAGCAGCCAUCAUUUAAAGAAAGCGUAAUAGCUCACUGGUCGAGUCGGCCUGCGCGGAAGAUGUAACGGGGCUAAACCAUGCACCGAAGCUGCGGCAGCGACACUAUGUGUUGUUGGGUAGGGGAGCGUUCUGUAAGCCUGUGAAGGUGGCCUGUGAGGGUUGCUGGAGGUAUCAGAAGUGCGAAUGCUGACAUAAGUAACGAUAAAGCGGGUGAAAAGCCCGCUCGCCGGAAGACCAAGGGUUCCUGUCCAACGUUAAUCGGGGCAGGGUGAGUCGACCCCUAAGGCGAGGCCGAAAGGCGUAGUCGAUGGGAAACAGGUUAAUAUUCCUGUACUUGGUGUUACUGCGAAGGGGGGACGGAGAAGGCUAUGUUGGCCGGGCGACGGUUGUCCCGGUUUAAGCGUGUAGGCUGGUUUUCCAGGCAAAUCCGGAAAACCAAGGCUGAGGCGUGAUGACGAGGCACUACGGUGCUGAAGCGACAAAUGCCCUGCUUCCAGGAAAAGCCUCUAAGCAUCAGGUAACAUCAAAUCGUACCCCAAACCGACACAGGUGGUCAGGUAGAGAAUACCAAGGCGCUUGAGAGAACUCGGGUGAAGGAACUAGGCAAAAUGGUGCCGUAACUUCGGGAGAAGGCACGCUGAUAUGUAGGUGAAGCGACUUGCUCGUGGAGCUGAAAUCAGUCGAAGAUACCAGCUGGCUGCAACUGUUUAUUAAAAACACAGCACUGUGCAAACACGAAAGUGGACGUAUACGGUGUGACGCCUGCCCGGUGCCGGAAGGUUAAUUGAUGGGGUUAGCGGUAACGCGAAGCUCUUGAUCGAAGCCCCGGUAAACGGCGGCCGUAACUAUAACGGUCCUAAGGUAGCGAAAUUCCUUGUCGGGUAAGUUCCGACCUGCACGAAUGGCGUAAUGAUGGCCAGGCUGUCUCCACCCGAGACUCAGUGAAAUUGAACUCGCUGUGAAGAUGCAGUGUACCCGCGGCAAGACGGAAAGACCCCGUGAACCUUUACUAUAGCUUGACACUGAACAUUGAGCCUUGAUGUGUAGGAUAGGUGGGAGGCUUUGAAGUGUGGACGCCAGUCUGCAUGGAGCCGACCUUGAAAUACCACCCUUUAAUGUUUGAUGUUCUAACGUUGGCCCGUAAUCCGGGUUGCGGACAGUGUCUGGUGGGUAGUUUGACUGGGGCGGUCUCCUCCUAAAGAGUAACGGAGGAGCACGAAGGUUGGCUAAUCCUGGUCGGACAUCAGGAGGUUAGUGCAAUGGCAUAAGCCAGCUUGACUGCGAGCGUGACGGCGCGAGCAGGUGCGAAAGCAGGUCAUAGUGAUCCGGUGGUUCUGAAUGGAAGGGCCAUCGCUCAACGGAUAAAAGGUACUCCGGGGAUAACAGGCUGAUACCGCCCAAGAGUUCAUAUCGACGGCGGUGUUUGGCACCUCGAUGUCGGCUCAUCACAUCCUGGGGCUGAAGUAGGUCCCAAGGGUAUGGCUGUUCGCCAUUUAAAGUGGUACGCGAGCUGGGUUUAGAACGUCGUGAGACAGUUCGGUCCCUAUCUGCCGUGGGCGCUGGAGAACUGAGGGGGGCUGCUCCUAGUACGAGAGGACCGGAGUGGACGCAUCACUGGUGUUCGGGUUGUCAUGCCAAUGGCACUGCCCGGUAGCUAAAUGCGGAAGAGAUAAGUGCUGAAAGCAUCUAAGCAC
rnacentral:rRNA from 1 species